UUACCUUGGCCACCCCUUUUUAACAGGGUGUCCUCAGCGAUAGAUAACUUAUCACGCUGAGUGGAACCAAGCAUAACACUGAGAUCCAGCUAAUGCACAAAGAGGAGCAGGUGUGAAGCUGCAAUAGACCUCCAAUACCAAAGCAGAACCAAUUGAGUUAAC
rnacentral:rRNA from 1 species